rnacentral:sRNA from 1 species
AAAAAAAUAGCCCGAAACGAUUCCUGUUUCGGGCUUAGGGGAAGGGCUCUUUAAGAGCCUUGCGCUAAUUUAUUCAUCAAUAAUGGAGAUCAAUUACACCACUAAGAGUAGUUGAUGGCUGUGAUUUUUCAA